AGGGCGAUUGGCGGAUGCCUUGGCACUGUAAGACGAUGAAGGACGUGGUAUACUGCGAUAAGUUUCGGGGAGUUGUAUGCAAGCUUUGAUCCGAAAAUUUCCGAAUGGGGAAACCUAACACUUCGUGUGUUACUUUAUACUGAAUACAUAGGUAUAAAGAGUGAACCUGGAGAACUGAAACAUCUAAGUAACCAGAGGAAAAGAAAUCAAUUGAGACUCCGUGAGUAGUGGCGAGCGAAAGCGGACUAGGCCAGCAACUUAGUAUUAGACAAUUUGAAUAGUUUGGAAAAACUAACCACAGAGGGUGAUAGUCCCGUAAAAGUAAUGCUAAUCUAAGUUCAUGAGUAGAGCGGGACACGUGAAAUCUUGCUUGAAUUUUGGGGGACCACCCUCUAAGCCUAAGUACUCUUCAGUGACCGAUAGUGAACUAGUACCGUGAGGGAAAGGUGAAAAGAACCCCUAUUAGGGGAGUGAAAUAGAACCUGAAACCGAUUGCCUACAAACAGUCGAAGCUCUUUUUAGAGUGACGGCGUACCUUUUGUAUAAUGGGUCAGUGACUUAAUUUGUAUAGCAAGCUUAAGCCGAUUAGGUGGAGGCGCAGCGAAAGCGAGUCUUAAUAGGGCGUUUAGUUAUAUGAAUUAGACCCGAAAACGAAUGAGCUUACCAUGAGCAGGUUGAAAGUUGGGUAACACCAACCGGAGGACCGAACCAGUUGACGUUGAAAAGUCUUUGGAUGACUUGUGGUAAGGGGUGAAAGGCCAACCAAAUUCGUAGAUAGCUGGUUUUCCGCGAAAACUAUUUAGGUAGUGCGUUGAAUAAACAGACUUUUGGAGGUAGAGCACUAAAUGGGCUAGGGGAGAGAAAUCUUUACCAAACCUAAUAAAACUCCGAAUGCCAAAAGUUAUUCCUCAACAGACAGACUGUGGGUGCUAAGGUCCAUGGUCGAGAGGGGAACAGCCCAGAUCACCAGAUAAGGUCCCUAAAUCAUGAUUAAGUGUGAAAGGAUGUGGAGAUUCCUUAACAGCCGGGAGGUUGGCUUAGAAGCAGCCAUCCUUUAAAGAUAGCGUAACAGCUCACCGGUCUAAUAGAGUUUCUGCGCCUAAGAUGUAACGGGGCUCAAAUCAUGUACCGAAUCUGUGGGUGUAUAAAGUUUUCGAAUUUUAUACGCGGUAGCGGAACGUUCUGUAAGCCUGUGAAGGGAUACCUGUGAGGGAUCCUGGAGGUAUCAGAAGUGCGAAUGCUGACAUAAGUAACGAUUAACAGAGUGAAAAACUCUGUCGCCGAAAAUCCAAGGGUUUCUGCGCAAGGUUAAUCCGCGCAGGGUUAGUCGGCCCCUAAGACGAGGGCGAAAGCCGUAGUCGAUGGGAACUAGGUUAAUAUUCCUAGACCAGAUGGUAGUGACGGAUUUCGUAAGUUGUUAACUCUUAAUGGAUUGAGUUAGCCGCGAAGAAGUUCCAGGAAAUAGCUCCAUCAUUAGACCGUACCCGAAACCGACACAGGUGGAUUAUUAGAGUAUAAUUAGGCGCUUGAGAGAAUGAUGUUGAAGGAACUCGGCAAAAUGCCUCUGUAACUUCGGAAGAAAGAGGACCUGUUUUUGGGCAACCAUAAAUAGGUGGCACAAGCCAGGGAGAAGCGACUGUUUAUCAAAAACACAGGACUCUGCUAACACGUAAGUGGAUGUAUAGGGUCUGACGCCUGCCCGGUGCUGGAAGGUUAAUGCGAUGGGUGCAAGCUCAUUUCUGAAGCCCCAGUGAACGGCGGCCGUAACUAUAACGGUCCUAAGGUAGCGAAAUUCCUUGUCGGGUAAGUUCCGACCUGCAUGAAUGGCGUAACGAUUUCUCCGCUGUCUCCAACAUCAACUCAGUGAAAUUGAAUUCUCCGUGAAGAUGCGGAGUUCCCGUGGUUAGACGGAAAGACCCCGUGCACCUUUACUGCAACUUUACAUUGGUGUUAGGAAUGACAUAUUUAGCAU
rnacentral:rRNA from 1 species